UCUAUAUGACACCGCCCAUCUUCAUCCUGUCAAGCCAAGCUUGCCAUUAAUUAUCUUCUUCGAUCAUCUUCUCCUACUUCAACUCUCUCUCUCUCUCUCCAAUUAGCUUUAAUUACAAGAGCUUAAUUCAAACAUGAGGAGUACGUCAAUAUGAUCAAAACUUGCAGCCUGAUCAAGACGAUUCCACGGUUUUUUCUGCUGAAAGGUCAUCUUUGGGCGACGCGUGGUUCUCACGCGCCUCUUGGGAGGGCUCUCACCCUGCCCCCGCUAGGCUUGUUGCUGCUGUUUUUGUAUUUGUUUGUUUUUUUUAUUGGGUUUUUUUGUUGUUGUUGUAUUCCUCUCUUCCUAUUUAUUCAUGUUUUGAUAUUUGAGUCCUUAUAACUCAUACUUGUCAAAUCAUCUUUAUUGGUGAACUCAGCUUUGUGGCAUUUGUGCUUCGAGCCAAAUGGCCCGCAUCUUUGGAAGCAUUGUCCUCGCGUACUUACGUUCAUAGUUUAAAUUUUGAGUUGCUCAA